rnacentral:rRNA from 1 species
AUUGAACGCUAGCGGCAUGCUUUACACAUGCAAGUCGAACGAGUGGCGGACGGGUGAGUAAUAUAUCGGAACGUGCCCCGUAGCGGGGGAUAACUACUCGAAAGAGGGGCUAAUACCGCCCACUCUUGGAGCGGCCGAUAUCGGAUUAGCUAGGUGGUGGGGUAAAGGCUCACCAAGGCAACGAUCCGUAGCUGGUGUGCGAGGAGGACAAGCCACACUGGGACUGAGAGACGGCCCGGACUCCUACGGGAGGCAGCGGUGGGGAAUUUUGGACAGUGGGGGAAGCCCUGAUCCAGCCAUCCCGCGUGUAUGAGAAGGGCUUCGGGUUGUAAAGUACUUUUGGCAGAGAAGCGGUAUCUGCAGAAUAAGCACCGGCUAACUACGUGCCAGCAGCCGCGGUAAUUC